AUUGAACGCUGGCGGCAGGCCUAACACAUGCAAGUCGAGCGGAUGAAGGGAGCUUGCUCCUGGAUUCAGCGGCGGACGGGUGAGUAAUGCCUAGGAAUCUGCCUGGUAGUGGGGGAUAACGUCCGGAAACGGGCGCUAAUACCGCAUACGUCCUGAGGGAGAAAGUGGGGGAUCUUCGGACCUCACGCUAUCAGAUGAGCCUAGGUCGGAUUAGCUAGUUGGUGGGGUAAAGGCCUACCAAGGCGACGAUCCGUAACUGGUCUGAGAGGAUGAUCAGCCACAUUGGAACUGAGACCCGGUCCAGACUCCUCCGGGGGGCGGCAGUGGGGAAUUUGGGACAAUGGGCGAAGGUUUUACCGACCCUUCCCGGGUGUGUAAGGAAGGUUUUGGGUUUUUAAGGCAUUUUAAUUGGGGGGAAAGGAAAGUAAUUUAAUCCCUUGCUGUUUUGACGUUACCAACAAAAUAAGCCCCGGCUAACUUCGUG
rnacentral:rRNA from 1 species